UACGGAGGGGGCUAGCGUUGUUCGGAAUUACUGGGCGUAAAGCGCACGUAGGCGGCUUUGUAAGCUAGAGGUGAAAGCCCGGGGCUCAACUCCGGAAUUGCCUUUAAGACUGCAUCGCUAGAAUUGUGGAGAGGUAAGUGGAAUUCCGAGUGUAGAGGUGAAAUUCGUAGAUAUUCGGAAGAACACCAGUGGCGAAGGCGACUUACUGGACACAUAUUGACGCUGAGGUGCGAAAGCGUGGGGAGCAAACAGG
rnacentral:rRNA from 1 species